GGCACUGUGCCAGCUGACUGCCUUUGGACUCAGAUGGCAACAUCGGCUUUUCUCUGGGUCUUCCGUCUGAUGGCCUGCCCUGAAGAGUUGAGAUUUGCGAACCUGCACAAUCAGUCAUCUGGUCAUCCAAGAUUGUCUCAUCUUCAAUGCUGGUUUCUUAAAUAAAAGGUUUCGAUCAAGAAAGGCUAUAUUUUCCAUGCAAGAAAAUGAGCUGGAUAAGAAAACUGUGUGCCAGAAUGAAGAUAAAUUACUGAAAAGCUCUACAGUAGCCUUGAAAGCCAACGGCUACAGUUACGCUGAGAGCAAGUUGCCUAUCAGCCACCAGAAGGGGCCGAGCAAAGUUGGAUAUCCUUUAAAACCUCAUUCCAAGAAAAGUAUCAUUUGACCUGUCUGGGUCCCCAAAGAUUUCACUUGCAAGGAUGUUUUUAUUUGAGCUGACUUAGAGCUCACCCGGUGGAAAAGUGUUUUCUCUUGGGACAUUUGCCAAAAAUAAUUAGAGAAAAUUGAUUAUUUUUAGCAGCCCAAGGUAGUAGACAGUUGAGGAAAACAAUAGGAUAACAAAAAAGCUUAAAAAGCAAAACUGGAGAAUGAGAGGUCCAUAGGUCUUUGCAAAACUCUGAUAUAUUACUGGGAAUCUAGAAGCCCCCCAGCUUGCAUAGAGCUGUACACAUAUCAUAAAAGACUUGGGAAGGUGCUAAUCUCUUACUUCUAGCUGACCUUGAGGCCCAAGGGAAGCAAGAACUGAAGGAAAUGUGUCAACUGACUGGUUGAGUGUUGAAGCCAUGCUCAUGAUAUCCAAAGAACACUGGCUAAACUGGGAGAUGAAUAGUUCCAAGCAGGUACAGAAAUAUUUGGCCAAUGAUUAGCUGACCAGCACGUUAAGUAAUCAGAGGCUUCAGCGAGUAUAUAUGACAAAAAGUACAAACUUUAUGGUUAGUUCUGAAAAGUCAUUACAUGAAUACCAUCACUAUUGACAAUAAAUCCUGGGAAUGAGAGGAACCUAAUUUCCAGACCUGUCACAUUAUAUUAUUUAAAAUGCCCAAUUCUCAACAACAAAAAAAAUUAUGAGCCAUGCAAGGAAAUAAGAAAGUAUGCCCAUAUGCAGAAAUUAAAGCAAUCAAUAGGAAUUCUCCCUGUGGAAGCCUAAACAUUAGAUGUACCAAAGACUUUAAAUCAGCUGUGUUAAAUAUGUCCAAAGAGCUAAACAAAAUCGUCUCUAAAGAGGUAAAGGACACAGUGAGAAUGAUGUUUCACCAUAUAAAGAAUAUCAAUACAGAAAUAGAAAUUAUAAAAAGGAGGCAGAUAGAAAUUCUGGAGUUGAAUUAUACAAUAAUUACAAAGAAAAAAAUAUAGUAGAGAGGCUCAACAGCAGAUUUAAGUCUGUAGAAAAUUAACCCAUAAACUUGAAGGCAGGUCCAUUGAGGUCAUUUAGUUUGAGGACAGAAAGUUAAAAGGAUGAAAUAAAAUGAACAGAAAACUUCUGAGACCAUUGGACAUUAUCAAGGAGCCUAUAAAUAAAAUGCAUGUCUGCCAAUUUUCUGUUGUUCUCCUAAUGGGAGUCUAAGAAGAAGAUGAGAGAGAGAAAAUGGAGAAAAAAUAUUUGAAGAAACUCAACUUUUCAAAUUUGAAAAAAAAUAGAAAUCUAUACCGCUAAGUAGUUCAACAAACUGGAAGCAGGAUAAACUCAAACAGAUCCACAUUUAGACACAUUAUAACCAAGCUGCUAAAAGACGAAGACAAGAAAGGCAUCUUGAAAGCAGCCAGAGAGAAGAUACCAUCAUUCACGAGAGCUCUUUAACAGCUAGUGACUCACCAGAAACUACAGAGCCAGAGGGCAAGGGGGGUACAUAUUCAAACUAAUAAAGGAAAUAUUAAAAUAUUAAAGAGUGUCCUUUUGGCCUAAAGAAAUGGACAGUAGAAUACUAGACAGUAACUCAACUACACAGAAAGAAAUAAAGAGAACCAUUCAUCGUUAACUACAUAGAGCACCAAUACAUUUCCUGGAACAUGAGCCCUGACGUGGAGACCAUUUCUUGCUGGCUGUUUUUACAAUAUCUGUAUCACCGGUGAAUAAAAAUAUCUCUUAUUUCUC